UACAGAGGUCCCAAGCGUUGUUCGGAUUCACUGGGCGUAAAGGGUGCGUAGGCGGUUGGGUAAGUCUGAUGUGAAAUCUCACAGCUUAACUGUGAAACUGCAUUGGAUACUAUCCGGCUAGAGGAAUGGAGGGAGACUGGAAUACUUGGUGUAGCAGUGAAAUGCGUAGAUAUCAAGUGGAACACCAGUGGCGAAGGCGAGUCUCUGGACAUUUCCUGACGCUGAGGCACGAAAGCCAGGGGAGCAAACGGG
rnacentral:rRNA from 1 species